CCGAGGCAUAUGUAGGUUCCCAGGCUAGAGGUCUAAUUGGAGCUACAGCUGCUGGCUUACACCACAGCCACAGCAACGCGGGAUCUGAGCCUCUUCUUCAACCUACACCACAGCUCAGGGCAAUACCAGAUCUCCAACCCACUGAACGAACCCACAUUCUCAUGGAUACUAGUUGGACUUGUUUCCGCUGUGCCACAACAGGAACUCCAGGUCCUCAGCUCUUUUGAUGACAUUUCCAUAAAUUUCUUUCCUCUUAAUUUCUACUCUUCUCACUAUGAUUCAUCUUAACUAAGGUCCAAGUCCUCUUCUAGGUGAUCCUGGCUUCCCCUUCUGAUCCAGGUCUCUGCACCUAUUUACCUCUUUUUUUUUUUUUUUUUUUUUUUGCUUUUUAGGGCUACACCAGAGGCACAUGGAAGUUCCCAGGCUAGGGGUAGAAUUGGAGCUACAGCUGCCGGCCCACACACCACAGCCACAGCAGUGCCAGAUCCUUUAAUCCCCUGAACCAGGUAUCAAACCCACAUCCUCAUGGGUACUAGUCAGGUUUGUUGUCACUGAGCCACAAUGGGAGCUCUGUCUCUGUGCCUACUUAAAGCUCCUCUUGCCAGGCCGUUCAGGACCUGUCUCUGUGUACACACCACUCUUAACCUCGCAUCGCACUCUCUAAUUAGCACCCACUUGCUCAUCUUCCCUGGUAUACGUUGAGCUUCUUGAGGCAAGAACAGAGCGCUUAGCUUCUCAGUCCUCCUCCAGGACCACAUCCUCCGUGGGCGCCCUUGCUCCCCACCCCCAUGAAUUCAUGCCUUCAUUUUGCAAAGCAGAGAGGAGCUCCCAGGUAAGACACUGAAUGAAGGAGCAUGAUCCCAUAGUCCCCGCUUGGAAAAUGAAAGACUGAUCAUAAAACUGUUUCCCGUUUCUCUUUUUAUGGGAAGCCCCCCUCUACAAGGCUAAAAGGUUUGAGAAAACGUAAAGAAAUUUAAUCCUAGAGAAUGGACUGAGGUGCAAAGAGAAUCCAUAAUUCAACAUCUAUUGGAUUAUGUCUGAGGAUUUUAGGGAGACAAAAGGGUUCCAGGGAGUUUGUGUAUGCACUUAAAAGUGGAUAGCUGUGAUUUUGUCUUUAUACACGUAUGUGUCAUCCUACUUCUUUUCUUCAAAAAAAAAAAAAGGGUAAACCAGAUUUUCCUCAUUAUGUGAGGUUUAGGGGCCAUCUAAACCUCAUAUAAUCCACUACCUCUGGGUCACCUUUCUUUUGGUUCAAGUUCUUCACACCUGGGAGGGCUCUCAUGACAAGGUCUUGCUAUAGGCCUUGGAGAGAGAGACGGGAAGAGGCUUAAUGGGACAUGUGGCUUUAGUCACAUUAACAUCGGCACCUUUGGGUACCCUGGUCUGGUGUUCACCUUCAAAGCCAGCUGUUUCUGAGCUCUGUUGAUUGAAGCCUGGCUAAUAAGCUCCAGCAGCUAUAUUAAAACUUGAUAAUAUCCUGCCUCUACUUUUAUCUUUAUUUACAGGAAUCACUAGGGAUAUGGCAUGAACUUUUCUUUACCCAACAGCAUCGAAACAUACUAGUCCUCCCUCACCAAUCCUCUUCCCCACCCCACCAGCCAAGACCCCAGACCCUUACACUGCUUUCUCUUGUGGGAGGUGGACUAUGUGGCUUCCAUUAGGGCACUGCUGUUCUCAGCCGUGUGGUAGUCUGGCCCUUUGGCCUUUUUUUUUUUUGCCUCGUUGAACAUUGGCUGCUUGUGAGAGGCAGUGGAUUGCAGGUGGCUAUUAGAAGGCAGUCAAUUAUUUUAAUUUGCUUUUAGGGGGCCAACUUAUUUUUUAGCAGCAGGAUCUAAUCGGGCACAAGAUGUGGCAAGAUUUAGUUCAUGCCUGGCUCAUGUCAGGUGCUACUAGGAAUCUAGAAAAAGUCUUAUUAAUGGGGUGAUUUAUCAAUUCACUAAAAACAUCUGCGUGCCUACUGUGAGAAUGGCCUUGUAGGGGUGUAUAAGGCACUCUCCCUGAAAGAUAAUGGGGAAGAAAGAUAAUAUCCACGCAGAGAUUCAGAGAAUCCUUGGGUGUAAUGUGGUCUGUUAUUAUCCAUUUCAGGGGGCUCAAACUUCAGUGUGCGUGAGAAUUACUCAGACAGCUUAUUCGGUCACAGAUGGCUGAUUCAGUAGGGCUGAACCAGACUCAGAACACCUGGUCUAUAGGAACCACAGGAGGUUAGAGAAGGGAAGAACCAGCACAGACUCUGGUGGUGGAGAAGUUCAGGUAAGUGGGGCUUGGUGGAUCUUUCAGUGACUUCAGAAAGUGAGUGGAAUGAAAUGGAGCCUCAUUUGGUUUGGCAGAAGAUUGGGGUAUUUGGAUAGGUGGUGAUCAGGAUGGGAGAUGUAGACCAGGGAAACCCUGUGAACAAAAUCACCAUACCUGAAAUGAUCUCUGAAUGUCCUGUUCACCCUGUUGGGAAAGCUCAGCUCCAUCCAAUCACACGGGUAAGAUUCAUCUCUCUUCAUUCCAGUCAUAUUAUGACUUCUUUGAAAAAUGUCAGUGGUAAACUCAGAUUGAUGGAAAGACCUGACACAGAUACCCUCCAGGCAAGUCAAAGAAAGGUCACUUCUAGCUUCAUAAUAGCAUCUGUAAACUAUAGUAGAAAUUGAGUGUGAGCCUGGGUAUGAUGUACCCGAACCUCGGGGGGUUGGGCAGUUGUAGAUGACAAAGCCUAAGCUGAUGAGGUCACGUUAAACUUGUAGAAGUUCAAUUCACCUCCACUCCCAGCCUCUGUAAAGAGUGGUUUUGCAUCAAGGCUAGUCCAGGUAUGUGUCAGAGACCAGCUCACCUGAGCCAGGUGCAUACAUCAAUCUGCAGUUGUACAGGCUAUAAUAUGACUGCAGAGGAUGGCACAGUGUAGCCCACUGGGGCCUGACCACCAUCCAGCUCCCAGACCAUCACAGCCUUGUCCACAACCUUCCCUGAUAUUAGAGCUACAAAUACAAAACCAUCACUAACAUCAUGCCUGCAAAUCCUCAGACCAGCUCUAGGGCCCAUCCUGUACCUUCUCUUCUCUUUUCCUUAAUCCAAUAAAAAUCUAGUAAAUCUGUAUGCAGUGCCAAGCACUUAGCUAGAUGCUGUGGAGAUGAAGAUGAAUAAAACUCAAGUUUUCUUCAGUCUACUGGGGAAGACAAAAGGAUAGAUAUGUAGGGGCAGUAAAGAGAAGCACAGAUGAGGUUCAGAGGUGGCCCAGGGUAAAAUUAAUCCUAGUUGAGAUUCCUCCAGAAUGUGGCAAUCUGCUGGAGGAGGCAGUUCAGAGCUUGGCCUUAUAAAAUACCAAGAUCUUACAUGUAGGGCUCAGGGGUCAGACAUGAUUCAGACCUAGGGAGGCUAUGUGGAAGAGCACAGGGGCAUGGAACAGUGUGUUUAAGGAACUAUAAUCAGGAGUGUUAUUAAAUCAUAAGGGCAGUAGGUAUUUGGAGGCGGAGCUGGGAGUGGCCAGGGACACCUUCACCCUCUUAUAAUUUAUCCUCAGCGGGAAAGCCAGAAGUUGUCCUGGUAAAAUGCAAGUAAGAUCAGAUCCUGCUCCACAACCCCCUCCCUCCAGGCAGACGCCCAAGUCUCCCAGGCUCUGCAUGAUCUGCCCCCUUUCCUCUCCCCUCCCGUGUUUUUCCGUUGCACUCAGAAUUACCCAAUCACUUAAUAAUUUCCUUUACUGCUGGUCUCUCUCAUGAAAAUACAUACUCUGAGGACAGAGGUUUCCGAUGUUCUGUUCAUGGCUGUAGCCCAGCUUCUGCAACAGUGCUUGACACAUAGUAGACACCCAAUCAGUAUUUGUCAUCUGAGUGAACACUCAUCUUUGAGGCCAAAUCAAGGAUGUUGCCCUGAAAUCAUUGGAAAGCCAUCAGAGGGUUUUAAGCAGGCAGAAACAUGAGGGAUUUGUGUGUUUGUAGAUCACGCUGAAGGCUUCAUGGUUUCUCUUGACUGGAGUAAGGGGCAAGCCAGGGGCUUGGAAAACAGGUUACUGCAACCAACUGGGAUUUAAGUAAGUGAAAGAGAAGCAAUGACAGUGGAACAGAGAGAAAAGGCUGGCUUUAAAAUAUAUGCCAAAAGUGGACUUGGCAUUCUCGAAGGCUAAUGCUCAGGAUGAGGGAGCAGAAGGAAAAAGUCUGAGAUGACUCUUGGGGCCCUGAAUCGAAAUAGGAAAAGUGGGAGCAGCAGGAGCAGAAUCGAUGCAGUGGGAAACAAGGUGUUAAUAUACUCUUUCCAGGGUCCUGUGUAAGUGAGGAAAGGGCCGCCAUCACCAGUGUUGCAUGGACAUGCUGCCGUGAGAAGGGCGGUCCGUGUAUGCCGGGGAUUAAGUUUCUCAGUUGAAAGUUUCAGUGAAUCCAAGACCAAAUUAAAUGUUUAUUCAUUCACACUUUCAUCAGAAUCGUACCUGUUCAUGACUACAGGUGCUGUGGUUUGGGAGAGAUAUACUCUGCCUAGAAUUCCAUCUAGAAACAGGUACAUAAACAAUGAAAACAAUAAACACAGUCCACCAACUGUUACUGUGGAGGCAUUAAUAACGUGCAAAGGGAGCACAGAGGAUCCUCGCUGAUAUUCAGUGAAUGCUGUUUGAAUGAGUAACUUACUCUUCAGGGGUUGGAGAGGAAAUAAAGUCCCUGAAAAUUAGGAAAAUUGGUGAUGAGGUGGGGUCAGGGAAGGGAGACGGGGCAGAGAUGGAAUUCCAGGGAGAUAAAGGGACAAGAGCGAAGGCAAAUCCUUUGAUACUGACUGAGUGCAAGACAUGGUUGGGGAGGAAAGUGGCUGAAGGUGUCAGGGCCAAGUUGGGAGAGAUUUGAAUGCCAUCAUACUUAAGCUUUGUCCCACAGCUGCACGUAACAAAAUGUUUCAGAGAGGGGGAGUGAUAUGCCACCACCGGCGUUUUGAAGUUGGUUUGGAUAAUAUUGUGAGGACUUUUGCAGGGAGAAGGGACUGAAGGGGCAGAGUGCAAGUGGGGGGUGAUCACAGUGGUCCAGGAUACAGACAGUGAU
rnacentral:lncRNA from 1 species